rnacentral:tRNA from 1 species
GGCGGGAUAGAGCAGUGGUAGCUCAAUGGCUUCCUUAGUCAUGAGACGGUGGUUCGAUUCCAUCUCCCGCAAUUUCCCA